rnacentral:lncRNA from 1 species
AAUGAAGAAGAUCUGGCUCCCGGCCACAUCAGUCCUAGAGAGCUAUCUGUGCUCUCACAUGGAAGGCUCAGUUAUCCACAGAGCUGUUUGCUUUGGUGACAGUUGGCCAUCAUAUUUAGAGAUUUUAUAUUCUUUGUCAAUUGUGUCACUAUCAUUUCUUCAUUCAUUUUGCACAUUAGUCCUUUUAACUAAUGUAUAACUGAUUUUUAAUAGAAUUCUUGUUAAUCCUAACAAGAAUUUUAGAGGUAGAUUUUGAUGAAGUUUGGUGAAGUGUCAUGUAGACACUAUAGUGUCAGUCAUUAACUUAAAAAUAUCAGUCCUGAAGCCACAUUGCCUGGGUUCAAAUGUCUUUCUGUUCUUGUCAUUUCAUGUAUUUGAUAACUCUGUGGAAAUUGAAGCACUCCAAAUCCUGGAAGAGAGCUCCUGGCAUCACCGAGACUGUAAGAUAACCAGAAGGCUCUUCAAGAUUCCAUGACCAUGUUUUAAUGAGGAAAAUGAUAUGGCUAUGCACCAUGUAUAUGAGGUCGACAUCUUAGGAAAAGACAGAACAAUCAGAUGCAAACAGUUUCCAGAAUGACCAUGUGGAACAGUCAUUCACCAGCCAAGUCUGUCACCAUACAUCAGUUAUACGAUAAGUCAAUAAUUUUUUUUUCUUGAAGACAUUAACCUUUGGAACCUCUGUUAACACAGUUUAGCCUUCACCUUAACUAAUAUAAGUGGUUUGCACACAUUUGGAAUAAAACGAGUAUUAUCAAUUUCUUAGUAUCUUGCUAACAACAAGUCAUACAUCCAUCCAACAGCUUGUGAAGUAAUCUCAUAGAAGAUGGGGUAUAAUUACAGAAAAAACUGUCCGUUUUAUUCUGCAAAGAAAAGGUUAUUUGUUCGGCUUCAGUUAGCAGGGGACAUAUUCACACUUACAUCUGAUGAGACUUCGAUUAGAACCGUACUGCAAAGUAAAUCAGAAAUAUUGAACAUGUUUAUUAUUAUUGCAACCAAUGAAUAUGGUGGUACACCUUGCCACUAGGCCUUCUUUAAUGUCUCUCAAUAAAAUUAUACAAUUCUCUUCA